AUUUCAUGCUGUGCCUGUCAUUUCGGGCUGAAGGCUGCUUAUAAUUCUGUAAACGUUGCACUUUCUGCUGCCAAGAAAGAGCUUCUGAUAAGAAGUUGGUUUGAAGCUGCUGUAAUAGCCAAAACAAUGUCUAAGUGAAAGUAUAAUAAAAGUGUGUGUUGAGCUGACACUAUCCUAAAGGACACUGCUUGGAAAAUCACUGAUGCAAGGGUCUCAGGCAUCAACAUGGCCAAACCAGGGUCCUUUAUGAAGACAGUCCAACCAAAGACUUACCCAUCAGAUGGAGUUCUUUCUAGCUGUUGCUGUAAAUGAAAGCACCACCACCAGCAACUGUGUUGGUAGCCUGGCCACCAAUCUGCAUCCUCUACAAGGCCAUGGACCAAGUGCUGUUCUGUAGCAGGGUGUGUAGAAUGGCAGCUGUCCUCACCACAAAAAUGGUGGAGAAUAUUUAGAGAAAAUUCUGCAAAGCAGCCUUCUUUUUCUAGAGUUGGGGGCAACCCCCCCCCAAGUCUCAAAAAUGUUCUCAGAAAAAUGUCGUUUGGGGUCAGCUCUAGGUUAAGGACACUUAAUUUCAGAACAGGGCAACUGCAAGGGGUGAUCAGCUGUACUAGUAUAGCUGUUGAAGAAACAGCCAAACUAUCAGCUUUCAAGGAUAGCAAUAGAACAGCUCUAAUUUGUAUACUAGAAAGGUUUUUUGUUCAAUUUUAUUUGAUUUUUCUACUGGGCUGGAUAAUUUUCACUGGCCAGAUGCAAAAGAGGACUGGCCUCUCUCCCUUUUAAUAGUUGUGUAGAAGAUGGAACUUCAGCAGGUGUAGCUUAUUAUGCAAGCUUCACCACCUGAAAUUCCCCUUUCUACACAACCAUUAAGGAUGCAUGCGUUCUGGUGUCGUUUGCAUCUGGCCAUCCUAACUACUAGAAUGGUGCCAACAUCUCCUAGAAAUACUUGUGAAUUUGACUAGUAAUAUUUUGCUAAGUGUUGCGAUGCUUUGAAGAGCUUUUUCUAUACGAUUUCAUUUUUGUUUAAUUCUAAUUAUCCAGUUAAAACAAUAAUUCUUGUGGCAUGGUCUUACUUAUAUCUCUCAUGAGGGAGAGGGAAGGGGAAAAUAUCCCAACUGUCCAGAGCUCUUAUAAAUGAACUGUCAUUAGUGAAGAAAACAAAACAAAGUAGUAGCCUAGGGGAACUCAGAGUGCCUGUAAAGUAGAAGAGAGGUAUAUCGCUGGUGUUUUUCUUGUAUUUCUGUGUUUGAUUUUAGAAGCUGCCUUGGGGGCCCUUUUAGAAUCUAGAGAUAGAGAUUUAUAAAUAAAGAAACACAUAAAUAAGUUUUUAAAUUAGCAAGUAUAAUGUCUGACCUUGGUAUUGCCAAAAAAGUCUUGCUAACAGAUGAGCCUUCUCAACAAAUCUGCUCCUUAGGGGAGAGUGAAUUCUCAUCUAGUAGUGGCAUAUCUUUCAUAGAUCACAGGGCCCAUUGUUCUAACAGAAGUUCUGUCUUGCCUUGGAUUAAACUUCAUUGUCAUGCAGUCCAUUACUAACCUCUGGCAGUCAUUCCUGGAGGAACCUGCCAUGAUUUAUGUAGAUGAAAAGGAGAAAUGGAGUUGGGUGGCCAUCAGCAUAUUGAUGACAUUGCACUCCGAAGCCUUGAGUGACCCCAACCAGCAAUUUCAUGAAGAACUUAACAAGCAUAGAAGACAACCGGGAGCAGUAAUCACGCUCUGAAACUAUCCUAUGAGAUAGGAACAGAACCACUGCAAACCUGAUAAUCCACUUAACCCAUGCAAGUGUUCCAGGAUGAUACCAUGGUCAUUGCUGUCAACAGGUGCUGAGAGAUCAAGUAGAAUCAACAGAGACAUUGUUCCCUGUCUUGUUUUUGGUAUGGGUCAUCUAUCAGGCAACCAAGGCAGUUUCUAUCCGUAACUCAUCCUAAAGUCAGACUGAGAAUCAGUUAAUUUCUUUCAAAAGCCUUUUCUACUGCCUGCUAGAUUAGUUUUCCAAGAAUCAUAACUUUGAGACUCACUGGCAAUUCCCCAAUAUAAGGGACUCAAGAGAAGACUUCUUCAACAAUGGCCUUGUGAUUAUUUUACCUUGAAAAACUAAACCCUCAUGCAACAAAAUAUUCAUUUCAACUAAGAUGGAAUUUAGAAGUUUCUCUUGACUGAUCUUCAUUGGUCAAAAUGGGCAGAGGGAAAUCAAGCAGACAUGCAGUAGGAUGGCCUACAACUGAUAUUUAUUCAAGUGAAGUGGGAUAGAAUCUUUACAUACCACAGCAACUCCUCCUCCCCAUCCAGUGAACUUAUGUUAUUCCAGUACAGAGUACCCAGCUGGAAGUAAUUUGGACCAAACAGAACUCACUGCCUCAUCUAGUUAGGUCUACACAUAAUGAAUACCAGGACAGCUUACUCGCCCCUAAUCAUAUUAUAGAAGAUAGCUGUUUUAAUUUGGACUGACCUGCAUUUUAAAAGGAACAAAUGAAGGAUUAAAGGAAGGCUGAUUAAGCUCCUUAAAGGACUGGAAAAAAGGAAUUCCUGAAUUUAUUUAUUUAUUUAUUACAUUUAUAUACCGCC